GACGAACGCUGGCGGCGUGCUUAACACAUGCAAGUCGAACGGAAAGGCCCUGCUUUUGUGGGGUGCUCGAGUGGCGAACGGGUGAGUAACACGUGAGUAACCUGCCCUUGACUUUGGGAUAACUUCAGGAAACUGGGGCUAAUACCGGAUAGGAGCUCCUGCUGCAUGGUGGGGGUUGGAAAGUUUCGGCGGUUGGGGAUGGACUCGCGGCUUAUCAGCUUGUUGGUGGGGUAGUGGCUUACCAAGGCUUUGACGGGUAGCCGGCCUGAGAGGGUGACCGGCCACAUUGGGACUGAGAUACGGCCCAGACUCCUACGGGGGGCAGCAGUGGGGAAUAUUGCACAAUGGGCGGAAGCCUGAUGCAGCAACGCCGCGUGCGGGAUGACGGCCUUCGGGUUGUAAACCGCUUUCGCCUGUGACGAAGCGUGAGUGGCGGUAAUGGGUAAAGAAGCACCGGCUAACUACGUGC
rnacentral:rRNA from 1 species